GCAUUGGUGGUUCAGUGGUAGAAUUCUCGCCUGCCACACGAUAAGCCCGGUUUGAUUCCCCGGCCAAUGCA
rnacentral:tRNA from 1 species